AAAAGGUUGACCUCGAAU
rnacentral:rRNA from 1 species